rnacentral:rRNA from 1 species
CCCUUAGAUGUUCGGGGCCGCACGCGCGCUACACUGAAGGAAUCAGCACGUCUUUCUCCUUGUCCGAAAGGACUGGGUAACCCGCUGAACCUCCUUCGUGCUAGGGAUUGGGGCUUGUAAUUCUUCCCCAUGAACGAGGAAUUCCCAGUAAGCGCGAGUCAUAAGCUCGCGUUGAUUACGUCCCUGCCCUUUGUACACACCGCCCGUCGCUACUACCGAUUGGAUGGUUUAGUGAGAUCCUCGGAUUGGUCCCGGGGCGGCCUCUGGUCGUGCCGGAGUGCCGAAAAGAAUGUCGAACUUGAUCAUCUAGAGGAAGUAAAAGUCGUAACA